rnacentral:rRNA from 1 species
AGCGGAGGAAAAGAAACCAACAGGGAUUGCCUCAGUAACGGCGAGUGAAGCGGCAACAGCUCAAAUUUGAAAUCUGGCCCCUGGCCCGAAUUGUAAUUUGUAGAGGAUGCUUUUGGUGCGGUACCUUCCGAGUUCCCUGGAACGGGACGCCUUAGAGGGUGAGAGCCCCGUACGGUUGGAUGCCUAGCCUCUGUAAAGCUCCUUCGACGAGUCGAGUAGUUUGGGAAUGCUGCUCUAAAUGGGAGGUAAAUUUCUUCUAAAGCUAAAUACCGGCCAGAGACCGAUAGCGCACAAGUAGAGUGAUCGAAAGAUGAAAAGCACUUUGAAAAGAGGGUUAAAUAGUACGUGAAAUUGUUGAAAGGGAAGCGCUUAUGACCAGACUUUUGCCCUGCGGAUCAUCCGGUGUUCUCACCGGUGCACUUCGCUUGGUUAAGGCCAGCGUCGAUUUUAGUAGGGGGAUAAAGGCUGGGGAAACGUAGCUCUUCCGGGAGUGUUAUAGUCCCCUGCGUAAUACCCUUACCGGGAUCGAGGUUCGCGCUCUGCAAGGACGCUGGCAUAAUGGUCAUCAGUGACCCGUCUUGAAACACGGACCA